AACGCACCUUGCGCUCCUUGGUAUUCCGAGGAGCAUACCUGUUUGAGUGUCGUGAAAUUCUCAACCUCUCUAGUUUUUAUAAGCUAGUUAGGCUUGGAUUUUGGAGGUUGCUGGCUUCUCAGAAAUCAGCUCUUCUUAAAUAUAUUAGCAAAGUCUUUGCUGGCCAUCUUUGGUAUGAUAAUUAUCUAUAUCAUUGAGAAUCAGCUUCCGUCUCGGAAGGGUUUUGCUUCUAAUGGUCUAUAUAGACAACUUGACAAUUUGACCUCAAAUCAGGUAGGACUACCCGCUGAACUUAA
rnacentral:misc_RNA from 1 species